rnacentral:rRNA from 1 species
UGAAACCCCUUCGACGAGUCGAGUUGUUUGGGAAUGCAGCUCAAAAUGGGUGGUAAAUUUCAUCUAAAGCUAAAUACCGGCCAGAGACCGAUAGCGCACAAGUAGAGUGAUCGAAAGAUGAAAAGCACUUUGGAAAGAGAGUUAAACAGUACGUGAAAUUGUUGAAAGGGAAGCGCUUGCAAUCAGACUUGCUCGCGGGUGAUCAACCCCCCUUCGCGGGAGGUGCACUCGCCCGCGAUCAGGCCAGCAUCGGUUUCGACGGGCGGAUAAAGGCUCCAGGAAUGUAGCUCCCUUUCGGGGGAGUGUUAUAGCCUGGGGUGCCAUGCGCCCAGUCGGGACCGAGGACCGCGCUUCGGCUAGGAUGCUGGCGUAAUGGUUGUCAGCGACCCGUCUUGAAACACGGACCAAGGAGUCUAACAUCUAUGCGAGUGUUUGGGUGGUCAAACCCCGGCGCGGAAUGAAAGUGAACGGAGGUGGGAGCCUCUUUCGGGGGGCGCACCAUCGACCGAUCCAGAUGUCUUCGGAUGGAUUUGAGUAGGAGCAUAGCUGUUGGGACCCGAAAGAUGGUGAACUAUGCCCGGAUAGGGUGAAGCCAGAGGAAACUCUGGUGGAGGCUCGCAGCGGUUCUGACGUGCAAAUCGAUCGUCAAAUCUGGGUAUAGGGGCGAAAGGCAAGCAAACCCCGGUGGAUUUCUUUGGAGUGAUAGUAUGCUAACAGUAUUUACAGACUAAUCGAACCAUCUAGUAAACCACUACUAGAGACACUGAACAGAAGAGAGGCGGUAACACGCCUUGGUAGUCCCCCCGUUCUUGGGGGGGCCACACUGCCGGUCUCCGGGGACCCNUGUUUCUUCAGGCUACCCGCACUGAGCUUCGGCUCAGUCACAGACUAAGUGGCGGUGGCCGCGGGAAGCCUGCGGUUAGGAUAUAGUCGGCGGGACCUCUGACGGGGUGCCCGGUACGUGAGCUGGUUUCAGCCGAAGUUUCCCUCAGGAUAGCAGUAACGUUUUCAGUUUUAUGAGGUAAAGCGAAUGAUUAGAGG